GGGACGUAAGGGGCAGCAGGGGCGGUGAGACGGGGGGGGCAGGAGUGUGACGGAGUCAGUGUGCGUGAAGCCGGCGAAGGCGGGUAUGUACGGCCGGGGUGAAAGCCCAGAGCGUAACUCUGGGCCUGCCUUGGAUACGGGAUGGGUGGAGGGUCGGAGAGGCAAGGGGAAUUCCACGUGGAGCGGUGAAAUGCGUAGAGAUGUGGAGGAACACCUGUGGCGAAGGCGCCUUGCUGGCCGAUUUCUGACGCUGAGGCGCGAAAGCGUGGGGAGCAAACAGGAUUAGAUACCCGGGUAGUC
rnacentral:rRNA from 1 species